GGGGCAGCCUAUAGCCUAGUGGUUAAGAUACAUGACUGGGACCCCUGAGGUUGGUGGUUCAAAUCCCAGUCCAGCCCCA